CAGCCGCCGCGGUAAUACGUAGGUGGCAAGCGUUGUCCGGAAUUAUUGGGCGUAAAGCGCGCGCAGGCGGUUCCUUAAGUCUGAUGUGAAAUCUCGCGGCUCAACCGCGAGCGGCCAUUGGAAACUGGGGAACUUGAGUGCAGGAGAGGGGAGCGGAAUUCCACGUGUAGCGGUGAAAUGCGUAGAGAUGUGGAGGGACACCAGUGGCGAAGGCGGCUCUCUGGCCUGUAACUGACGCUGAGGCGCGAAAGCGUGGGGAGCGAACAGGAUUAGAUACCCUGGUAGUCCACGCCGUAAACGAUGAGUGCUAAGUGUUAGAGGGUAUCCACCCUUUAGUGCUGCAGCAAACGCAUUAAGCACUCCGCCUGGGGAGUACGGCCGCAAGGCUGAAACUUAAAGGAAUUGGCGGG
rnacentral:rRNA from 1 species